UCAUUUUUAUAUGUUACAAAGUUUUUCACUUACAUUCAGUAAACAAUGUGCAAGAUAUAUUACAAUUUCACGAAUUAAAUAAAUCAAGAAAUGUAGGUUUUGUGGACCUUUAGUCGUGGCCAUUGUAAAAUCACUUGAACGAGCUGGUAGAUCUCAGAAAGAUAGCAGGAAUGAGUGCUGAGAUCUAAGAAAACAGUGAAAUUCUCUUGAUACGUGCUACCACCCAUAGGUAUUGUACAAAUUUAUGAAUCAGUGUCCAACCCUUGGUUUAGGUUUAGUGGAUUUUAGUGGAGUGUAACAUUUUAGGGUUCUUUUGCCACAAACAUAUAUUAUUAUCUUUCUAAUGAUUCUUUUAUUUCUUACUUCAGACUUAACUGAAGAAUUGAAUUUGGUGAGGUUGUGUGGAUAAGAAAAACGGAACUUGGGCUACUGUGGCCUCAUCACUCUCAUCUUUACAAGUGAAAAAAAGCCCAUUGAGGAAUGGACAGUAAAGCCACGAGAUCGCCAAGAUGCUGCCACACCAAAUUCAACACCGAAGAAAAAUACAAACGAAAGAAUCAUCGUCGAGUGAAGAAAAAGGGGUGAAUACAGUAUCGGCAGUUCCAGAUGAAACCGUUAUUCCUAAACUGGUGUAAAACUAGAUACCCAAAGCGAGGAGAAAGAGGAAUAUAGUCGUUGACAAAACCUGGACGACGCCAGGUCAACCACGGCAUCACGCAAGGUGAAGAAGACCUCCAGGUCUUAUACUGUUGUUGAUUUUUUUGUGAAAAAAGAGAUCGAAAACCUAACGCAGAUGGCAGAAGCCUCUACUAAACAAGUCAGUUGAAAAUAGUAUGGAGUUUGUGUUGGGAUUGAUGCUGCAAUUGCUGCAAGGAUGUCUCUUUCUUCCCUCCGAUUGUGUGUGUUUGUUUGCAAUUCUGCAACGGAUCUUUGGGCAGGAUGAUUCCGGAAAGGAUGUGUCUCGUUGCGCCCAACAAAAUAACAGAACUCGGUAGAAUAGAAGAGAAACAGAAAGAUUCCAGGCAUCCAGGCUGGUUUUGCGCUGUAUAGCUUCCUUUAAAAUCGUCCCCCCCUCCUUAAACUCCGGCUAGUCUUUCUUUUGUUGGCUAUGUUAAGGUCUUCCUUCCAGCGGCAGAGAAUCCGUAGUGCGCGGCGGCGUAAGCGACGGCCGGGGGAAGAAGAAGAAAAAAGAGCCUUACUCUUUUCUCUCUAUUUCUUCAUUUUCUAUUUCUUCAUUUUCUAUUUCUUCUUCUUUUUCCCGAAUAGGAAAUGAGGAGUUUUCCCCCGAUGAAAGCUGCACAACGGUCGGAGCGCUAGACGCGCGGCCCGAUCCGUCUUUGUCAGAGCUCCAGCUCACUCUCUCACGUUGACCUUUUCCGAAGGGGCCACAGGGCAACCAGCUCUCCAGCAGCUCUAGAGCACAGUGCAUACAGAAAAUAGAUACAGCACACAAGCAGCCAGACCUUCUUUUUCUUUCCCCUUCUCUUCUCUAUACACUUGGAUAUGUGUGUGUGGAUUCACUGUAGCUUUCCCCUCUUAUGCAGCAGCAGUCAACGAGUAAAAGUAUCAAAAGCUCGGCUGGAUGGAUGGAUGGAUGGAUGGGCCGACCUACACUUACUACGCUAAAGAAGGGGGGAAAUCGACCACGGAGAUCUCCCGACUGAGGAAACGAGGGACGACAGUUGCGGACGCAGACAGCCGGCCGAUUUUGACGUUUCUAUUCCACCCAAAAUGUCGAAAUGAAUACGACGGAUGGCCUUGUUUCGAUCCACACCUCCCAGACGUUACAGGUUUUUAUUAAGUUCUAUACACACACGACGAGAAUAAAGUUUGAUCGUCAUCAACUUACGGUCGAUUUCGUCUAAAAUGGUGGAGGGAAUCGCCGCAGGAGCCGAGUGAACACAACAACAACAACAGCCAGAAGAAGACGGGAAAACAAAAAAAGAAUACGGGGAAACCCAUUUUGGUUUUUAAAAGAGUCGAGCAUUGUAAUUAUCCAAACUCGAGGCAGCUAGGUAAAAAACACGUAUUAAAAAAUUUUCUUUUUCCUCCCCUCCGUCAAAUUCGACAAAAAGAAGAAAAGAGAGAGAAAAACCAAAAGGCUUCUGGCACUCUUUUUCAACACAGAGUGCUUGUAUGUAUGUAUACAAUAUAUACACAGAGAGAAAGAGAGAGAGAGAGAGAGACUCCAUGAAUACUUGUUUCGAGGCCACGACGAUAUAGGAUGACCGUUUGCAAUCAUGGGCCUUCACCGCCAUGAUGGAUCACCAACCAACCAAGCCAACCACCACCACACGGAGCACACAGCAAAGUUCCUUCUUCUUCUUCUUCUUUUUUCCCUGCUCUUUUGGUUCCUUCUUCAACACAAAAACGGCGAUGAAAUUUCUUCUUCUUUUCUGUUGUGCUGUGUAUUAUUUUCUCCCGCAUUUCUAAGAAUGUUAAACCUAUUGGGAAGAGAAAAUAUCCGAAAAUUCUUCCCUCAGAACCUGACAGCUACUCUCUCUCUCCUCCGCCAGGACCACAGCGGAAUCAGACUGACGUGCACAUAGGCGGAUACCUUGGAUGUAUGUCCGGAAGUUGGCGGAAUCCGGAAGCCGCACCCAAUUUUUGUCAACGUCGCAGACAACACACAAAGUCCCCCCUCUACGAAACAAAAAAUGUCAUCAACACUUUUUUUUUUCAAUUCCAUUUUCUUACAUACCGAUAAACAUUUAGAUCAGAUUUCAAAGAUUCAUUUUUAACACCUUUCAAAUUAAAUGAAAAGAAGAUUGUCAAGUUCCAUGGCUAAUAAUUAAUAAAUGUUGAAAAGUCAGUCAAA
rnacentral:lncRNA from 1 species